GGUUAAUAUUCCUGUACUUGGUGUUACUGCGAAGGGGGGACGGAGAAGGCUAUGUUAGCCGGGCGACGGUUGUCCCGGUUUAAGCAUGUAGGCGGGAAGUUUAGGUAAAUCCGGACUUCUUUUAACGCUGAGGUGUGAUGACGAGGCACUACGGUGCUGAAGUAACAAAUGCCCUGCUUCCAGGAAAAGCCUCUAAGCAUCAGGUAACAUCAAAUC
rnacentral:rRNA from 1 species